rnacentral:rRNA from 1 species
AUAAGCAAAUUAAGAGCGUAUGGGGAAUGCCUAGGCUCUCAGAGACGAUGAAGGACGUGAUAAGCUGCGAUAAGCUUCGGGGAGGGGCACAUACCCUUUGAUCCGAAGAUUUCCGAAUGGGGCAACCCACUAUAUUGAAGAUAUAGUAUCCGCAAGGAGGUAAACCCGGAGAACUGAAACAUCUAAGUACCCGGAGGAAGAGAAAACAAAAGUGAUUCCGAUAGUAGCGGCGAGCGAAAUUGGAACAGCCCAAACCAGUGUUGUUACGGCAAUACUGGGGUUGUAGGACCACGACAUUCGAACUGCAAUGAACUAGAAUACUUUGGAAAAAGUAGCCAUAGACGGUGAUAGCCCGGUAUAGGUAAAGAACAGUAAGAUAGUGGUAUCCUGAGUAGUGCGGGGCACGUGAAACCCUGUAUGAAUCCGGCGGGACCAUCCGCCAAGGCUAAAUACUCCUGAGAGACCGAUAGUGAACUAGUACCGUGAGGGAAAGGUGAAAAGAACCCUGAAUAAGGGAGUGAAAUAGAUCCUGAAACCAUACGCUUACAAGCGGUCGGAGCCCUUUGGGGUGACGGCGUGCCUUUUGCAUAAUGAGCCUACGAGUUACCGUUUCUAGCAAGGUUAAGCACUUCAGGUGCGGAUCCGUAGCGAAAGCGAGUCUGAAUAGGGCGUAUAGUUAGUGGCGGUAGACGCGAAACCGUGUGAUCUACCCAUGGGCAGGUUGAAGCUGUAGUAACAUAUAGUGGAGGACCGAACCCGUUGACGUUGAAAAGUCUUGGGAUGACCUGUGGGUAGGGGUGAAAGGCCAAUCAAACUCGGAAAUAGCUCGUACUCCCCGAAAUGCAUUUAGGUGCAGCGUUGAGCGAAAGUUUUAUAGAGGUAGAGCUACUGAUUGGAUGCGGGGGCUUCACCGCCUACCAAUUCCUGACAAACUCCGAAUGCUAUAAAAUGAUGUAAUGCAGUGAGGGCAUGGGUGCUAAGGUCCAUGUCCGAGAGGGAAAGAACCCAGACCAUCAGCUAAGGUCCCAAAAUGUAUGUUAAGUUGAAAAAACGCGGUUGGAUUGCAUAGACAGCUAGGAUGUUGGCUUGGAAGCAGCCAUUCAUUUAAAGAGUGCGUAACAGCUCACUAGUCGAGCGAUCGUGCGUGGAUAAUAAGCGGGCAUUAAGUAUACUACCGAAGCUAUGGAUUAUAUAGUAAUAUAUACUGGUAGGGGAGCAUUCUAUAACCGUUGAAGGUGUUGCGUGAGCAGUGCUGGAGGGUAUAGAAAAGCAAAUGUAGGAAUAAGUAACGAUAAUGCAGGCGAGAAACCUGCACACCGAAAGACUAAGGUUUCCUGGGCUACGUUAAUCGUCCCAGGGUUAGUCGGGACCUAACGCGAACCCGAAGGGGGUAGUGGAUGGCGAACUGGUUAAUAUUCCAGUACUUGUUAUAACUGCGAUGGAGAGACGGAUUAAUGAAAGUACCGCGUACUGACGGAAUAGUACGUUAAAGAGUGUAGGCGUUGAUUGGGAUAGGUAAAUCCGUUCUGAGAGCUGAACUUGAUAGUACCGAGAUGCUUCGGCAAAUUGGAUAGUGUAUGUAAGGGAUCCCGAGAAAAACCUCUAAGCUUCAGGUUAUAACAACUCGUACCGUAAACCGACACAGGUAGUCGAGGAGAGAAUCCUAAGGUGCUCGAGUGAUUCAUGGCUAAGGAACUAGGCAAAAUGGUCUCGUAACUUCGGGAGAAGAGACGCCAACAGCAAUGUUGGCCGCAGUGAAUAGGCCCAGGCGACUGUUUAACAAAAACACAUGGCUUUGCAAAAUCGAAAGAUGAAGUAUAAGGCCUGACACCUGCCCGGUGCUGGAAGGUUAAGAGGAGAUGUUAGCUUCGGCGAAGCAUUGAAUUGAAGCCCCAGUAAACGGCGGCCGUAACUAUAACGGUCCUAAGGUAGCGAAAUUCCUUGUCGGGU